GUUUAAACCAAUCCACCCUGCACAUGAGUCAAAGGCACUGACAUUGACCAAGUCUCUAGGCAGGAAAUUGUGCAAUGCCAAAAGAGAAAGGGAGAGGUCGAUGCUGCAUAUCUAUAUAACUGAAUAAAAUGCAAAUGGAUAAGAGGACAGAGAAAAGAUAUAAUACAGGUGACACAAGAUUCCCCCCCUAGGUAGCUAAGGCCACAUGGCACUGCAAGGGUUACAAUAGAGCAAUGUCUCACUCACCAAGAAGCUGCCGUGAGCUGGGAUUGAUUUAUAAAGAUUUAGAUAUUCAGACCAGACAGACCCUAUACCUAUAUACAGCCCAGACUAUGUGGUCUGUCCUUGAACCGAAGUGGAACUACAUCAAGUCAAUAGCCAACAAAACUGCACUUCUGCCCUAGUGAAUAUAAGGUUGGAGGAAGUGGUGUCAAGUUUGAUUUAAAAUGCUUCAAUCGUGUUACAUUGGGCCACUAAUGGUAAGAGUAUAGUCCAUUCCCAUGCUACAAUGUUGAAGAAUUUGGUGUAGUCUAAAUUCCUUUGUUUACAUUUAAUUUUUGUGGAAUUAUUUCUCAUUCAAGACAUACCAGCAAUCAUAAACAAUUUGGGUUUGUCCAUAUUUGCAAAACCAUUACAGGUCCAUAAUUUUGGCAAAUUUUGGGGGCUAGGGGGCAUCAUAGGUUCACUAUUUGGGGGAAGGGUGGCAAGUGAAGCGAGCAUGCACAGGUGGGGUUUCCUAUUGGGGGAAAUAAAAAAUAAGCUCUUUUAGGGGUAUUUUGAGUCUGAUAUAGAAAAACAUUAGGGGAGCCCCCCCCCUUGCAGAAAUUAUGGGUCUGCAUUAAGUAUUUUGAAGCUGUCCUUUCCCUCAGAACAAUAUUUAUCAUGGGAACAAGUUAAGGAAUGAGAACCUUUCAUUGUUUCAUUGAUACCAUAUCCUCCAUAGUUGUUGAAGGGUUGUGAGGUCCUAACAAACACUCGCCCUGAUAGUUUCCCGCGAAGUGCUCAUAUAUUGCCCGAAUUUCACUCCACUAUAUCUCCAGAAAAAAACUUGAAUCACAUAAGAAAAUCAUUGGUUGAGUGAAACUGUACAAACUGUCCGGAAUGGUUUUGCCGGCGCCGGGGGAUCGAACCCGUGACCAGCGAGAUGGGAAAGCCACUCCUUAACCAGUCGGCCAAAGAGGUGCCCCCCUUACAGAGUGAUUUAUGGUAUGCUUGGCCAUCACACGGGUAUUGGCAUUACACUCCAGUCCAGUCCAGCAGUAGUAUAGGCGUGGGAUUGCCUUCGUAACGGCUCCCACUUAUGACUUAUUCUAGAUUCUUGAUUCUUGAUUGGCGUUGUUGUGUCUUUCAGUUUUGUUCAAUUUUCUUUUUUUUUCUGUUCCAUAUUGUUGUGAUAUAGUUUUCUGUCUUCCAUUUCUCAAGGUUCACAUUCUAGAUUCUUGAUUGGCGUUGUUGUGUCUUUCAGUUUUGUUCAAUUUUCUUUUUUCUUCUGUUCCAUGUUGCUGUGAUAGUCUUUUUCUGUCUUCCAUUUCUCAAGGUUCACAUUCUAGAUUCUUGAUUGGCGUUGUUGUGUCUUUCAGUUUUGUUCAAUUUUCUUUUUUCUUCUGUUCCAUGUUGUUGUGAUAUAGUCUUUUUCUGUCUUCCAUUUCUCAAGGUUCACAUUCUUGAUUCUUGAUUGGCGUUGUUGUGUCUUUCAGUUUUGUUCAAUUUUCUUUUUUCUUCUGUUCCAUGUUGUUGUGAUAUAGUUUUCUGUCUUCCAUUUCUCAAGGUUCACAUUCUAGAUUCUUGAUUGGCGUUGUUGUGUCUCAGUUUUGUUCAAUUUUCUUUUUUCUUCUGUUCCAUGUUGUUGUGAUAUAGUCUUUUUCUGUCUUCCAUUUCUCAAGGUUCACAUUCUAGAUUCUUGAUUGGCGUUGUUGUCUUUCAGUUUUCUUUUUUCUUCUGUUCCAUGUUGUUGUGAUAUAGUCUUUUUCUGUCUUCCAUUUCUCAAGGUUAACAGGCGUGGUGGUUGGCCAGUCCGAGGAUGGCUGGGCGUGGAAACUUACACACUAUCUUAUCUGACUCUCCAGCAGCUCCCUGACAUGUUUUGGAGAUGCAGUGUGCCUCUAUAAAGCCUAAACGAAACACAAGAAGCUCUCUAGUCCUAAGAAAUCACGGUAAUCCAA